UGAGGAAUAUUGGUCAAUGGGCGAGAGCCUGAACCAGCCAAGUCGCGUGAAGGAUGACUGUCUUAUGGAUUGUAAACUUCUUUUAUACGGGAAUAACAAGAGCCACGUGUGGCUCCCUGCAUGUACCGUAUGAAUAAGCAUCGGCUAACUCCGUGCCAGCAGCCGCGGUAAUACGGAGGAUGCGAGCGUUAUCCGGAUUUAUUGGGUUUAAAGGGUGCGUAGGCGGCCUGUUAAGUCAGCGGUGAAAUCUAGGAGCUUAACUCCUAAAUUGCCAUUGAUACUGGCGGGCUUGAGUGUAGAUGAGGUAGGCGGAAUGCGUGGUGUAGCGGUGGAAUGCAUAGAUAUCACGCAGAACUCCGAUUGCGAAGGCAGCUUACUAAGGUACAACUGACGCUGAAGCACGAAAGCGUGGGUAUCAAACAGGAUUAGAUACCCUGGUAGUCCACGCAGUAAACGAUGAUAACUGGGCGUAUGCGAUAUACAGUAUGCUCCUAAGCGAAAGCGUUAAGUUAUCCACCUGGGGAGUACGCCGGCNACGGU
rnacentral:rRNA from 1 species